GAAGAUCAACUUCUGGAAAUGCACGAUCCAAGGCUUGGCAAGCUUCAAAUCUACUCCAGAAUACUUGCUAUGAUGUUUGAUGAAGAAAUUGAAGCUUGAAACUGUGUAGAUCUAGCUCAAAUCUCAACUGCCAUGGCAAUGUUCUUGAGCUUCAACUGCUUGAUUAUGGCUCCAAUUCCUCAAACAAAAGCUGGAUUCACACU
rnacentral:lncRNA from 1 species